rnacentral:rRNA from 1 species
GAAGAGGAUGGGCAUGCGGCGCAUUAGCUAGACGGCGGGGUAACGGCCCACCGUGGCGACGAUGCGUAGGGGUUCUGAGAGGAAGGUCCCCCACACUGGUACUGAGACACGGACCAGACUCCUACGGGAGGCAGCAGUGAGGAAUAUUGGUCAAUGGGAGAGAUCCUGAACCAGCCAAGCCGCGUGAGGGAAGACGGCCCUAUGGGUUGUAAACCUCUUUUGUCGGAGAACAAAACCCGGGACGAGUCCCGGACUGCGUGUAUCCGAAGAAAAAGCAUCGGCUAACUCCGUGCCAGCAGCCGCGGUAAUACGGAGGAUGCGAGCGUUAUCCGGAUUUAUUGGGUUUAAAGGGUGCGUAGGCGGUCUGUUAAGUCAGCGGUAAAAUUGCGGGGCUCAACCCCGUCGAGCCGUUGAAACUGGCAGACUUGAGUUGGCGAGAAGUACGCGGAAUGCGCGGUGUAGCGGUGAAAUGCAUAGAUAUCGCGCAGAACUCCGAUUGCGAAGGCAGCGUACCGGCGCCAGACUGACGCUGAGGCACGAAAGCGUGGGGAUCGAACAGGAUUAGAUACCCUGGUAGUCCACGCAGUAAACGAUGAAUGCUGGUUGUCCGGGUCGAAUGAGACCUGGGCGGCGA